CCUACGGGUGGCUGCAGUGAGGAAUAUUGGUCAAUGGGCGAAAGCCUGAACCAGCCAAGUCGCGUGAGGGAGUACUGCCCUAUGGGUUGUAAACCUCUUUUGUCGGGGAGCAAAAGCCGGACGUGUCCGGCUGUUCGAGUACCCCAAGAAAAAACAUAGGCUAACUCCGUGCCAGCAGCCGCGGUGAUACGGAGGAUGCGAGCGUUAUCCGGAUUUAUUGGGUUUAAAGGGUGCGCAGGCGGAUUUUUAAGUCAGCGGUAAAAUCGUGGGGCUCAACCCCAUCCAGCCGUUGAAACUGGGGAUCUAGAGUGGGCGAGAGGUAUGCGGAAUGCGUGGUGUAGCGGUGAAAUGCAUAGAUAUCACGCAGAACCCCGAUUGCGAAGGCAGCAUACCGGUGCACAACUGACGCUCAGGCACGAAAGCGUGGGUAUCGAACAGGAUUAGAUACCCUAGUAGUC
rnacentral:rRNA from 1 species